GCAUAUGAAAUAUUAAAAUUGAAUAAAAGUGGUACAUAAAAACAAAUAGGCUAAAUUAGUGUUUGGGAUUUUUUAAAUAAAACUUUUGGUGUAGGAUGCCAUCAGUGAUUGGAUGAGUCAGUCUCAAUUAUUUAAACUAUAAAAUGUUAUUUAAAUUCGUCAGUUUUUCAGUUUCUGUUAAUAGUUCUCUGGCAGAUGCAUCAUCAUCCUGACCUUCACGCGUCUAAAUAAGAUACUACUUCAAAGAAAAUGCACAUUAUUAAAAAGUCAGAUUCCUAUAAGCCUUGGAUGAUACUAGAGUUCCCUCUGGUGUUUGAAAUGUGGUUCUGCAUCUAGGCUACUUUACUAUUUUGAAAGCGGCUUACGUUUUUCUUGUUCACAGCAAAGACUAGAGACUCUCCUACUAUCAUUUUCCUUUCAGUUUUGUACAGAGAGUUCAUGAAACGAUCAUAACCAUCUGUCGAAACAAUCUACAGUCUGUACCUGGGCAGUUUAGGAGAGAUACUACCUCUCAAAGUGACAGGGGACAUUACAGUUUAUUACGACUGUAUAACGCCUCAAAGAAUGUUUUAGAGCAUAAAAACCAAACAGCACACUUCGUUGACUACUUAACACUUUAAACAUCCCGUUUUUUUUAAACCGAAGCAGAUUAAAGAAAAGUUUUGACACAUAUCGCGAGAAAGUAAACACACGCGAACGCAGAACACGUACGCAGAACACAGAACACCUCAGUUAUGUGAAACAACAACUUCCUGAAAAGUAAACUGUGGACAGCAGCCCCUCCUCUUUCACUUUCAGUUCGGAGCUUCGGACGGUCUUGUGGCCAAACAGACUUUAGCCAAGACAGAUAAGCAUGCGUACGAUGUGUUUUACAUUACAGACAAUAUAGAGCGCAUGUGAAGAACAACAUUUAUAAAUAUCCAGCAGUCAGACGUCGUAUGUAAUCGUUUUUGCGAUUAGUCAUUUCGAAAGUUUCAACAGAGAGCUAAAUUGUUCUUAAUUCACGUACGAUAAUGAAUGAAACACUUCCUUUAGCGGUGACGUCCAGAAAUAGUUGUCCCUUAGGUUGAGUUCUGUUGUGACUGGGCUAUGAGGCGAGAUUCAGUUCACUAUGAACGCUCAACAGUUGAUCCUCAAACAGCGAGCAGAGCUUCUGGCAGUUCUAUGUGGUGGAGGUAGCGAUGAACCUCUGGAGAGUGUUUUGGACCUGCUACUUGCUCAGGAAGUUCUUGUCUGGGAGGAUUACCUUAGGGUACGAGUGGCAGAGAAACCCUUGUGUGCUAACAUCAGGCAACUUUUAGAUUUGGUGUAUGACAAAGGAGAAGAUGCAUGCAGUUAUUUUUUGGCUGCGAUUGAGCAAGAAUUAGCUGAGGAGCAAAAGGCUGGACUAUGUUUUGGUAAUGGAUGCGUUAUGGUGGGCAAGGACAGACCAGCCACUGCAACUUCAACAUUACUGGCUGACAGGCCAAUGUUAGUGAGACGGCUCAGAGAUAAUAUUGAUGGAGCACUAAAUAUUUUACUGACGACUGGUUGUUUCUCCAUCAAAGAUUGUGAUAGUGUGCAGCUACCUGUAUACACACCCUCACAACAGGUUCGAAGACUGUUAGACCAAGUAAAGUUUAAAGGGGAAACUGCUGCAAAAACCUUACUGGAAUAUCUAGAGCAACCUGAGCCAACCUCACCAAUCUCAGCAGAGAAAGAAAAUACACCUUCCGCUGAUUGUCUGGUCUACCAGAAGAAGCUGCGAAGCUCUGUUGCAUCGCAGUCCCUCUUCCUUAGCACCUAUGGCGGGACAGGGCGUUUCUCAUUGGAUGACAUUUACACUGAUGGACAUCUUGAAGUGAUGAAUAGCUCUGGUGAAACUACAACAUUAGGGCUGGAGGAUGUAGUGGGUCCCAUGGGGACUCUUAAUGAAGACGCUGACACCGUUCUUGUGUCUGGGGAGGCAGGAAGUGGCAAAAGCACAUUAGUUCAGCGACUGCACUUGCUCUGGGCAAGAGAAGCUUUGCUGCUAAACACUUUUCUGCUGUUCCCCUUCAGUUGCCGCAAGCUAAAUGCAGAGCACAGAGAGCUUUCUUUGAAAGAGCUCCUCUUCCUGCACUGCUGCUGGCCUGAUCGAAACCAGGAUGAGGUCUUCCAAUUCAUCCUAGACCACCCUCAUUUGGUGCUCUUUACCUUUGACGGACUCGACGAGUUUAAACUGGGCUUCACAGAUGAAGAACGUCACUGUUGCCCUACAAAGCAAGUGCCUAUACCUGUAUUGCUUUUCAAUCUGUUGCAGGGUACCCUAAUGAAGGGCGUUAUGAAGGUGGUCACCAGCAGGCCACAUGCUGUGGGCCCAUCACUGAAGCGCUAUCUCCGCAAAGAAGUGCUCCUCAAGGGGUUUUCUCCUGGAGGUAUUGACUGCUUUGUUAAGAAACAUUAUAGUGACCCUGCAAUGGCUACAAGAGUCAUAGAGUCUGUCCAGGGUAACACUGCAUUACUAGGUCUUUGCCACAUUCCUGUCUUCUGCUGGAUUGUGAUCAAGUGCUACCAGGAACUCCUGGCUGGUCAAGAUGGUAUUCCUCAGACCAUCACCGAUGUCUACCUCCUCGUCUUACAGCAUUUCUUUCAGCGAAAGUCAUCUCAGCCCCAAAGUGGUCUGGGAAAGGCCUGGUUGGCUGAACAUUUGGACACAGUGUUAAAGCUCGGAGAGUUGGCACUAGAAGGUCUGCAAACCUCCUGCUAUGUGUUCUCAGGUUAUGAGCUACAGAGAAACAGGAUCACAGAGCAAGAUGUCGGCAUAGGCUUCCUCAUUUACUGCAGUGACAUAUCUGUGAAUGAUUGUAAACGUUAUGAAUUUCUGCACAUUACCUUACAGUGUUUUUUUGCUGCUCUGUAUGUUAUUCUGAAUCGCAACAAUGAUCGUUCUGCUAUCUCCAGACUCUUUCAGCCUCGCAACAGGCAGGUGUCAGGCUUGUCUCAAAGCUGUCUGGGACAAUGUAUGGAUCAUUCAGUAGAGGAGUCCCAUGAGGCAGAGACAGCAAACCUUCAGAUUACAGCUCAGUUUGUGUCAGGACUUUUAUCCCAGCGGCACAAUAAUCUCCUCCUGGAGUGCUGUCCUGCUGCUGUGCGUGAACGCAAUGUUAAGCAGGUAGUCAAGUCAUUGUCCAAAAGGAUGCAGAGACAUUUCAAGUCCAUUCCUCGUCCUGUAGAGGGUGAAAAGAAGAGCAUGCAUGCCAUGCCAAGUUUUGUUUGGCUGAUCAAGUGCAUCUAUGAAUUGCAAGACAACAGUAUUGCCCAAGAUGCCAUGGCUAAGUUGGAUGUUGAGCACCUGAAGCUCACCUACUGUAACAUUGGGCCUGUUGAAUGCACUGCGCUGGCAUACGUGCUCAAGAACUUGCGCAAACCAGUUGGACUACAGUUGGACAACAAUUCAGUGGGAGAUGUGGGUGUGGAGCAGCUUCUGCCGUGUCUGCCUAUGUGCCACUCCCUUUACUUAAGGAACAACAACAUAUCAGAUGAAGGAAUACGAAAACUUCUGGAAAAGGGAAUAGAGUGUGAAAACUUCCAGAAAAUAGCGCUUUUCAACAACAAGCUCACUGACACUUGCACCCAAUACUUUUCUUGCCUGCUAAAAUCAAAGCAGAACUUCCUGGCUUUGAGGCUUGGAAAUAAUAACAUCACAUCAGUUGGAGCAGAGCAGCUGGCAGAAGGCCUAAGCUACAACCAAUCUUUACAGUUUCUGGGAUUAUGGGGUAAUAAAGUUGGGGACAGGGGAGCUGAGGUAUUGGCGGAUGCGCUGACGAAUAGCAAAACACUAAUAUGGUUAAGUCUGGUGGAUAAUGGUGUGGGCAGUGCCGGUGCAUGUGCUCUGGCUAAAUUUAUCCGACAGAACAAAAGUCUGGAAGAAUUGUGGUUAAACAAAAACUCCAUCUGCAAGGAGGGGGUUGAUUGUCUGAUAGAGGCACUGAAAAUGAACACUAGUGUUAAGAAAGUCUGGCUGAGAGGAAAUAAUCUGAGCCCACAGGAAGAAGAGCAGCUGAGCCAGCAAGAAUGCAGAUUGACCUUCUGAGGGCAUGAAGGCUCUGUAUUGCCUGCCAUCAAACUCCCAAAUCCAACGGUCAUCAUUUUCCUUUAAAAAACAAAUAAACUGGCAGCCAUAAACACACAAGCAGAAAGUCAUGGUUUAGCUAGUCAAAGUUAGCAUUCGCGAUCCAGAAUACUGAUUCGAAUGUCAGCUGGGGAGAUUGACUGGGAUGUUUUGCCUUGAAUGUGUCUUCGAGAUGUGUCUUGUUUCUUCCAGAUUUCAUAUAUGUAGUUUAUUAAAAAAAAAAAUUCCUUUUGUGUGUAGUCUCAUAGCAUUAUAAAUGAGUAACAUGUCAACCAACAAAACUGUACUGUACAUGAAAACAUGUUUGUUUGGGUUGAUACUUGUACUCAUCCUCAGUUUACAGUUAGCAUGUGUAUUAUUUUGAUAUGUUGGUGGUUGUUUUUUGUAUUGUAGGCUAUAAUCAGUUUAUUUAAGGGUCUGUUAAUUGCGUCAUAUAAUUUCAGGUUUUGUUGUGCUGGUUUUUGAAUGGCUUUAAGUACAUAUUCUAUGACUUAUUAAACUGCAGAUUUCCUAUUC